rnacentral:rRNA from 1 species
CAGGAUUCCCUCAGUAAUGGCGAAUGAACAGGGAUGAGCUCAGCAUUGAAAUUUGGGCCCCCGGCCUUGAAUUGUAAUUUCGAGAUGUGCAACCAAUGGAGGCGCAGGUGCAAGCCGCUUGGAAAAGCGCACCACCGAGGGUGAGAGUCCCGUUCGUCACUUGCAGUCCUCCGUGNACGGUGUGCUUUCUAAGAGUCACGUUCCUCGGGCUUGGAGCGCCAAAGGUGGUAAAUUUCAUCUAAAGCUAAAUAUAGGUUUGAGACCGAUAGCAAACAAGUACCAUGAGGGAAAGAUGAAAAGGACUUUUGAAAGAGAGUUAAAAGUGCCUGAAAUUGCUGAAAGGGAAGCGAAUGGAACCAGUGUUUCUUGGCGAGAUUGUUACACGCUAAGUGGAUAGUCGGUUGCCUCAACGCAAGUGUGGCUGCUGGCUUUGAUGCGGACGUGUGUGGUGCUUCUUGCCUUGCCUGUCAACGUCAAUUCGGGGUUGAGGAAAACUCAAGGGACAUGGUAGUUUGCCCACGGGUGACCGAACGUGCCUUGCAGAACUCACCUCUGGAUUGAAGACCUCAUGUCCGGUUGCAUUGCCCCCCAUCAAGCUCGCUGCCCUGGGAAAUUCAGCAGGUGCGCGGCUUUGCUGGCGGGAGCACUCCUUGACGCGAAGAUGGUGACAAAAUGGUUUCACUCGACCCGUCUUGAAACACGGACCAAGGAGUCUAACAUAUGUGCAAGUUCCCGGGUGGCCAAACCUGCUGGCAUAAUGAAAGUGACUGCUGGGAUCUUUGCACCAGCAACCGACCAAUCGACUUUGAGAGGUUUGAGUAUGAGCACAUCUGUUAGGACCCGAAAGAUGGUGAACUAUGCCUGAGAAGGGUGAAGUCAGGGGAAACUCUGAUGGAGGCUCAUAGCGAUACUGACGUGCAAAUCGUUCGUCAUACUUGGGUAUAGGGGCGAAAGACUAAUCGAACCAUCUAGUAGCUGGUUCCCUCCGAAGUUUCCCUCAGGAUAGCUGGAGUUGAACAGUUUUAUCAGGUAAAGCGAAUGAUUAGAGGAAUCGGGGACGCGUUGUUCUCGACCUAUUCUCAAACUUUAAAUGGGUAAGAUCCAGUGGUUACUUGAGUGAACUUCUGGGAUAAAUGACAACUCUAAGUGGGCCAUUUUUGGUAAGCAGAACUGGCGAUGAGGGAUGAACCUAACGUUGGGUUAAGGUGCUUAACUGCUCGCUCAUCAGAUACCAUAAAGGGUGUUGGUUCAUUUUAACAGCAGGACGGUGGUCAUGGAAGUCGAAAUCCGCUAAGGAGUGUGUAACAACUCACCUGCCGAAUGGACUAGCCCCGAAAAUGGAUGGCGCUCAAGCGGGUGACUGACACCCAACCAUUGUUGCAAUUGUGCUGCAUCAAUGAGUAGGAGGGCAUGGGGACU